GAGGCGAGGCGAGGCGAGGCGAGGCGGCGGCGCUGCCCCCUGUCCCGGUAGGUGGGCGGGAGGAGGGAGAGGCCUUGCCGAGCUGCCCGAGGGGAAAUCCCGUGCAGGCUCCCCGGUUCCGCUUCCCGGUGCCCUGGGGGAGGGAGCUCUGGUGUGGUAAAGAAAUCAAUUCGUUCCAAGUGAUGGGCCUAAAUGACACGUUAAAGCACUGCGAUGGUGCAAAGACCGAAAUGCACUCCUCAAAUCACAUGAUGGUAAAAAACCCUACAUCAUUUCUAGCAUGAACGGAAGAAAAGAGGAAUAUGAUGCUUUAAAAAAA